AAUGUGUUACUGCCCCCUUUUUAGACAUCUGGUAGUGAUUAAAUGUGAGUAUAAAGCAGAGAUGAAGUGUGCUUGGACUACAGAAAGCAGCAGGAUGAAGAGUAGUGUGCAGCUAGGGCUGUUGUGUCUCAGCCUGCUCAUCUCCAGUCUUCAUGGAGAAGAAGAAGUCGAGACAGAUUCAAGCAUGCACAUCCCAAUUAAGUUUGAUGAGCCGGAUCUUCAUCAGUUUGAGAUGUACAGAGUACGAAGACAGACGGUCUCCACAGAGAAGGAAAAUACAGCAAAGACAGUAGCUGUUGUGCCACCAAGUGAGAACAGCAAGACUAAGAGAAAACGGCCACGUCCAGGAGGUCUUACUCCUUUAGGAGACAGUGGAGAUCCGACGGUAUUCACUGUCCUCUGUCAGUUCAUUCAAAAUAAAUGGUGAAAUAAUACAUAGGAUAUAUAUACUGUAAAUAGAGAAAAAUGUUGAGUACAUGCUUCACCAGUUACAUGAUUUUCUAAUCUAAAAAUAUAUUGACUUGCCUUACACUGAAUUCAUCAUUUGGUUUUCUCGGUUCA
rnacentral:lncRNA from 1 species